CCCCCCUCCCUCGGACAGAGACCCGAACGAGAAGAGAUGCCCUGUUGAAAUGUUCACUAUCUGUCUCAGUAAAAGCCCCGUGCAGCUUGUCGACUUCGAGUCUGCUGUAUCCUUGCAACUCAUCUGUAUGAAGCCCUGUGCAGCCUGUCGACUUCGAGUCUGCUGCAUCCUUGUAGCCCACCUGUGCUGAGAGAAGUGACUGUCCCUCUGUCACGAACCUGAGGCUGGCACGCUCUGUCUGAAAUAUCCACUCUGUCUGUGUCAGAAGAAGCCCCGUUCAGCCCGUUGACUUCGAGUCUGCUGUAUCCCUGCAAUUCAUCUGUAUUGUGAGAAGUGUUCGUUCCUUCCAACGCAUGUGGACUGUAUACUUUGCCUGAAGCAUCCAUUCGGUCUGUCUCAGUAGAAGCCCUGUGCAGCCUGUCGACUUCGAGUCUGCUGCAUCCUUGUAGCCCACCUGUGCUGAGAGAAGUGACUGUCCCUCUGUCACGAACGUGAGGCUGGCACGCUCUGUCUGGAAUAUCCACUCUGUCGGUGUCAGG